AAACAACUGAGAACACUGCGGCAACACCUGUUACGCAAGACAUGCUAUUGAUAUGCAAAUGCAAUGACAUGUUUAUCAGUUCCAAAAAGUAUUCUACCCCCUUGAUUCCAGUCUCACAUUUGAUAAACAGUGUAAGAAGAAAACCCCAACUAGAAUCAAGAAGAAGAUGUAAACCCCCUAGAAAUGGAUAAACAUGUGUUAAAUGAUAUGAAUGCAGAAUGAUGUGAUGCAAUUAUGUGAAUGCAAUGCAGUGGUAUGUCAAUCAGGAU
rnacentral:lncRNA from 1 species